rnacentral:rRNA from 1 species
UACGUAGGGUGCGAGCGUUAAUCGGAAUUACUGGGCGUAAAGCGUGCGCAGGCGGUGAUGUAAGACCGAUGUGAAAUCCCCGGGCUUAACCUGGGAACUGCAUUGGUGACUGCAUUGCUGGAGUAUGGCAGAGGGGGGGUGGAAUUCCACGUGUAGCAGUGAAAUGCGUAGAGAUGUGGAGGAACACCGGUGGCGAAGGCGGGUCUCUGGGCCGAUGACUGACGCUGAGGUGCGAAAGCGUGGGGAGCAAACAGG